UUCCCUUAGAGGUCCAGAGGGUUCCUCUCUCCCAUUCAGAGUACUCCAAGGAGGCUGACAAGACUGUGGAUUAUCGGCUUUAACAGAACAAUAGUACAAGUUCAUACUCUAGGGACUGCUGAAUAUGUACACGGAAUUUCCUUCCCACACGGUCCUCACGACUGCCUUGAUGGAGGGUUGGGACGUAAGGUCAGUGUUGUGUGCUCAAGUCGGACUCAACCAGGGAAGGAGCAGACAGACAUGAAACUCAAACCAGCAAGUGGCCUUGUGGGCUGAUUCCCUCCAUCCAGUGGGAGCAGGGAAAAGAAUACACUACAGCCCGCUGAACCUGGACCAAGCUCCGGAAACAUUCGCUAUCUGGGCGUGAGGAGCCCCUUUUACGAACACAGAGGUGAGGAGAUUGCGGCCAGAGACGUGAAGGAACCUGUUCAAGGAAGGUCACACCGCUCACAGGACAGGAACUCUGCUUCUGUUGUUCUUUCUCCUGCACUGGGCUUUGAUAACCUUUCCCUGCAUUAAUUAACCAACAUUACAACCUGGGAGAGACACCAGCAACUGAGCCUGUGCUGUGUUAAAUGCUGUAGAAGCACCGUUACAUAAAUCCUCACAGCAAGUCUACGAUGUAAGUAUGACUGGUCCAUAAGCCCUCAUCCUAAGCUCUGAAGGCAGUGUUUCAGAAUUCAGAAAUGUUCACAUUUUAGAAAGGUAACAGGGUGCCUUUAUCAUACAUUGUGUAAAAACCCCAUUAGAGCCUGGAGAAGUGCCUAAACACAGUAACGUUCCUGCAACAAAUGUGUAAGAUUCACGGUAAGCUGGACAAAUCCUAUAAAGUGUCUCGUGGCAGCUCAAAGCAGGUUUAUCAACCAAUCGAGUACAAAAAUCCCUUGUUUCUCAGAGCUCUUAGACUUCGGAUCUGUUUUCUUUGCUCCCAUUGGGCAGAUCAGGAAAACGAGGUUGAGAGCUUAAGCUGGGGUGGGGAUGGGGGCUGAGAAUCCUGGCAGCCUGAUUCCGGAGCCCACCUCCUGCCCACCACUGGGACUGCUGCUCUAAUAGUAGUGGGUAGAAAGCCCGCAAAACAACAAAAAGCUCUAGGGCAAUGUUUCAAACACACACAACUCCAGUCUGCACUCCUCCUUUCCCUACCUUUGGUAAUUUUUGCUGAAAGCAGCUAAUUAACUGUGAUAUCAGAAAUUUCUGCGUGGCUGGCGGUGGGGAAAGAAAUGCUCAACUUUUCUCACUCUGAGGAUCUGGUGACGUCACAUGCUACAAGUCACAUCAAGGACCACCAUGCUGCCUCCUGCCGAGGCAUCACCGUGGGCCUCAGAGGCUCGUGUGAACAGACGAACUAAAAAAAGUGUGUCUGAGAACACGGCCAGCGGUCCUCCUGACCGUCACGUGUAGACGC